AGGCCAGUAGCUCAACUGGUGGAGCGUCGGUCUCCAAAACCGAAGGCUGGGGGUUCGAGCCCCUCCUGGCCUGCCA
rnacentral:tRNA from 1 species